rnacentral:misc_RNA from 1 species
AACACUGUUAACCUGCGGUACCUGCGGAGGGAUCAUUACAGAGUGUUUAACCCCCUAUAAAAUGGUGGGUCUAACCUCCCGUCCUUUGCUGGGUCCCCCUUCUGGAGGACUUUCAAAACUUUCUGCUUCGGCGGGGUAUACCCGCCGGAACACCCUCAAAAAAUUCUUGAUCAAAAUGGUUCGGUCCGAGAAACUUUUUGUGAAGAUUAGCGAAAAACUUUCAACAACGGAUCUCAGAUC